rnacentral:rRNA from 1 species
UAGGGAAUCUUCCACAAUGGGCGAAAGCCUGAUGGAGCAACGCCGCGUGUGUGAUGAAGGCUUUCGGGUCGUAAAGCACUGUUGUAUGGGAAGAACAGCUAGAAUAAGAAAUGAUUUUAGUUUGACGGUACCAUACCAGAAAGGGACGGCUAAAUACGUGCCAA